GUGGGUAUAGCUCAGUGGUAGAGCACAUGCCUAGCAUGCAUGAGGUCCUGGGUUCAAUCCCCAGUACCUCCA
rnacentral:tRNA from 1 species